GUUUUUCUUCCCAGUAUAUCCCCAACAUUUAACAACAGGUUAAUACUUAAAUAUAGUAGAUUCUCAAUAAAUAUGUGUUGAUUAAAUAAAUAAACCAAUUUAAUUCAAGACAAGUAAACGGACACUUUCAAGGAAGCAUUUUAAAGCUAUAGGGGAGAGAAAAGUGGCCUGGGAACUCAAAUAUGCGGCCCUCACCCCUACUAGGGAAGCAGAAGGAGGGAGCAUCCCGUCCAAAGCUUCCCAAGCGGCGCCGGACUGCGUGCUGCGGCUGUGGGGGUAGAAGUCUUCAGAUAAAAGAUGGGGAAAACAGACCAAAGCAAGUCUCGCUGGCCAGUGACACUCCAGGAGCAUGGCCCAUGGAAGGAUCCAAGGCUGAGGGAUCUGGGGUAGCCCCACAGAGAUACUCUGCCAAAAUCCAGUCACGAGAAGGAGGGAGGAGGCGAGGAACGAAAAUGAGAUUUGGUUUAGGCCGGAAGAACGGGCUGCGCCAACAACGAGAAAAUAAAGUGGCGAGCUGGGAAGGGUGUAGCGCGGGCUAGAAGGGCGGGAAACUUGAGAACCACGGGCGCGGGAGCCUGGCGGGGACGCAAGCCCGGAACUGGCGGAGGGGUGGGCAGGCGCAUGCGCGCGCGCAGCUGAAACGCCGGCUGAUGAAACUGACAAAGGCGAGAGCGCGCAGCAGCCCACAGCAGCCGAGUUCGCGCCGCCGGUAGGUGCUGCCAUGCCAGGGGGCGGGAUCGUGGAGCGCCUCGCAGAACCGCACGAAAGCAAAAACAAAGCCAUCUCUCCGGAGCAGAAAUAGAACAGACGUGGCCGGGGAAAGCCAAAUAUUUGUGAGAUGAUGUGAACAAAGGGGGAAAAGUCAAUCCAGGGAAGUUUGAGUUUCUGGUUGGAGGCUUCAGCGGCUCUGAUCGCUGGAUACUUUAAGAGAACAUCCUUUGCCCCCGCUCUCCCUCUCUCCCCGAAGAAAAAUAAAUCCUUGGCAAAAUGAGACUUGACGGCAUGAAAAGAAGGUCUCCAGACUGUCCCAGCUGGCGCGGGCGGGGCCGGGGCCGAGGUGCCGCUUGGUGACACUGCAGCCGCGGCUCAGCACUGUCACCCAGAAAGGCCCGCCGACGUCUGUAUGCAGGGAACGUGGCUCUUAGCAGAGCCUGGACAGGCGCAGGGCCAAGGAAGUCUUUGUUUUUGUUUCUUUCUCUAGCCCUUCCUGCCAAUACAUCAGGGAUAUAACUCCUUGGUGUUUCUGCCUUACAAUCGCUCCUUAUACCCCACCCAGAUCCUCAGCACUGCAGCUCCCACUGCCACUGCCCGCUGUGAGUCACCUCCCCCUCUCCCUUUUUUAAACCAAACGGCAAGGCCAUAUUGCAGUUAUCCAUAAAUGGAAAAGCAAGAAGCCACCAAUACCUGUUUGAGAAGAUGGCAUUUUAAUUAGCACACUCCGGCUGCCAUAAACCCGGGCUCCUGCCCCACCUCUCCCCGCCAUAAAGCCUCUCUCCAAUCGCUUUCUCGGAGGGAGUUUUUGCAACCCCCACAACACAGGUUGAUUGGAAAGGUCUCUCUCCCGGAUAACAACAAUUCAAUGUGCCUUGACAUUUUAAUAGCCUGCCGUCCUGGUGAACACAAUCGAGCAAGGCAGUGAAGCAAACAUCAUUAGGUGGCUGGACUCAGACACAUCACGCUCCAGUUUGGGUUCCAAGGUGCUUCUCUCUGGAUUUUCACCUGCCUUGCCAAAAAUGAUUGAUUACGCUGGGCCAACUGGGUGUCCGGCAAUACCCAACAAAUGACUUUGGCCCCUAACAGCAGGUCUUGGCCAGACAGAAAUCAAUAUUUCACCAUUAAAAUCUAUCAAAGAAGAGUUAAGGCACCAUCUGUCCCUGCCGCCUCUCUAUGGUGUGUGAACAUUAAAUCCGACACUUGUACUACAUGGGUAAUCAAUAUAUAGUGGUUCACAGAUCAUUUGUGGUUCCCUUUUAGCAGUGAUGGAUGUCUGGAAUCGUUGUGAUUCAUUUUGUCAGACCAUUAAACAAGAUUCUGUCCAGUU
rnacentral:lncRNA from 10 species